rnacentral:rRNA from 1 species
UGGGGAAUAUUGCACAAUGGGGGAAACCCUGAUGCAGCGACGCCGCGUGAACGAAGAAGGUAUUCGUAUCGUAAAGUUCUAUCCUAUGGGAAGAUAAUGACAGUACCAUAGAAGAAAGCUCCGGCUAAAUACGUGCCAGCAGCCGCGGUAAUACGUAUGGAGCGAGCGUUGUCCGGAAUUAUUGGGCGUAAAGGGUACGCAGGCGGUUUAAUAAGUCGAAUGUUAAAGAUCGGGGCUCAACCCCGCAAAGCAUUGGAAACUGAUAAACUUGAGUAGUGGAGAGGAAAGUGGAAUUCCUAGUGUAGUGGUGAAAUACGUAGAUAUUAGGAGGAAUACCAGUAGCGAAGGCGACUUUCUGGACACAAACUGACGCUGAGGUACGAAAGCGUGGGGAGCAAACAGG